rnacentral:misc_RNA from 1 species
GCUAGUUUUGUGGGCUUAUGCCAUUUUGGACUCAGACCUUUUAGACUGUUGAGCAAUGGAUCUCACUCUGCCACAGUUUCAGGAUUUUGGGCCUGACCCAAAGAUGCACACUGUCAUUCAUUAGGCUACAUCAUGGAACUAAACUGAUACGGCCACGGGGGUCUUGAGCAACCCGUGGGGUGAUUCAGGGCCCGAGGCCUCCAGGACAGAACCCCUGCCGACCUGCCGUGGAGGAAUUGUGAGGAAGUGUGAGCCGUGCAAGAGAGGGCCCUAAUCGGCAGCCAUGAGCAACAUCUACAUUCAAGAGCCGCCCACAAACGCCAAGGUGCUGCUUGAGACCACUGUCGGUGACCUGGACCUCGAACUAUGGGGAAAGGAGGCGCCGCGCGCGUGCCGCAACUUCAUCCAGCUGUGCAUGGAGGGAUACUACGAUGGGACGCCGUUCCACCGCGUGGUGCGCGGGUUCAUCGUGCAGGGCGGCGACCCGACCGGCACCGGCGAGGGCGGCGAGUCCAUAUACGGACACCCGUUCAAAGACGAGUUCCACUCGCGACUGCGCUUCUCGCGGCGCGGCCUGCUGGCGAUGGCCAACGCCGGCAAGGACGACAACGGCUCGCAGUUCUUCUUCACGCUGGCGGCGACGCCAGAGCUGCAGAACAAACACACAAUUUUCGGCAAGGUGGCGGGAAAUACACUGUAUAACAUGCUGAAGUUCGAGGAGGGAGAUAUUGAGGAUGAUCGGCCGAAGUAUCCACACAAGAUCAUCCGCACGGAGGUACUGUUGGAUCCGUUUGACGUAAUUCCUCGCCGGAAGGCCGAACCAACCGAGGCCGAGAAGAAAGAAGCGAAACCAAAGAGCAAGUCGAAGGCUACGAAGAACUUCAAGCUGCUCUCAUUUGGAGACGAGGCAGAAGAAGAUGAGGAUGAAACGAUCGAGGCCACCAAAAAGUUCUCGGGCAAGUCCAAGUCGUCACAUGACCUCACGGACGAUCCCAAGCUGAGCUCUGCCCCGGCCGUGCCAGAAACGGCUCGGAACUCGAAACGCACCUCAGAGCCGGAGGAAAGCGUCAACAUGGAGAACUUACGGAAAAAGUUGAAAAAGAGUGAGGCAGAGGAGGAGAAACCAGAAAAUUAUCGACUCUUCCAGGGCGAUGAUGAGAAGAAGAAAGCCCAAGUUGCUGAAGCGAAGGCCGAAUUCGAAGAAUUGAAAAACCAGAUGCUGAAGAGGAAGCAAGCGGCGGUGAAAGCGGAUGCUGUUGCCGCAAAGAAAGAGGAGCCUGAGGACGACGCCAUCAAGGAGUACAAACAGCAAAAGGCUGAGUUCGAAGAAAAGAAGAAGCAGCUGCCGAAGCGCGGCGCGUCCUCCCGCGAGGCGCAGACGAUGGCGCUCCUGGAGAAGUUCAAGAACAAGCUGCAUCGCGCCAAGGAGGAGCAUGUGGACGCGCCACAGGAGACUACGGCCGGUGGCGACGACGCCGAGGAGGUGAACGACGACUCGUGGCUGGCGCACGAGCUGCACUUCACCGCCAACGACCCGACCCUGGCCAAGGACGCCAGCACCAAGGCGGACGACUGGUACGACAUUUACGACCCGCGGAAUGAGAUGAACAAGCGGCGGCGGCAGGCGGACGCCAAGGGCAAGCGGAGGAAAGACAAGGGCGAUCUCUGAAUGCUGGGGAUGUGUGUGAGAAAAGGGAGGGGGAUGUCGGAUUUUGUGCGAUGUAUGAGAGAGUAAUAAUUAUGAGACGCUUGUUUUGUCGUAUUUUGAAUCGUCCGUCUCGGUAUCUGUGCCUGAAUUUGCGAUCUGAGUGCAAGUCCGAUUAGUGUGUAAAGCUUGUUACCACUCCUCGUCAUCCAGCUGCUCUCAAAGGAACCCAAGCGCUUGAUGCCAGAUGUCGCUGUCUUUUCAGUUGGCGUGGCGUGUAUUAAAAACCAGUUGAUUUUACAACACUGUCAGUCGUCACAUCCUGCUAACGUCAGACUUCAAUUUUUCUGCUGCCAUCUUCAGUUUUGCCAUGUCCAAGUUGGCUUCCGGCCUGGACACAACAGCCUGUGUUCUGUGGAUAGUUUUUCCUGGUAUUGACACGUGACCCAGUUUGUUUUUUACUUGACUUAUUACAAUUAAAGGUGAGAUGUUCGCUGUCUUGCACCGUGUCUUUGAUGGUGAAAUAAUGGCAUGAAAUAAAUGAUAAAAGAAAAAGUUAAA